rnacentral:rRNA from 1 species
GACGAACGCUGGCGGCGUGCUUAACACAUGCAAGUCGAACGGUGAACCUCUUCGGAGGGGAUCAGUGGCGAACGGGUGAGUAACACGUGGGCAACCUGCCCCCGGCUCUGGGAUAACUCCAAGAAAUUGGGGCUAAUACCGGAUGUUCACCGCUUCCCGCAUGGGUGGUGGUGGAAAGGGUUUCCGGCUGGGGAUGGGCCCGCGGCCUAUCAGCUUGUUGGUGGGGUAGUGGCCUACCAAGGCGACGACGGGUAGCCGGCCUGAGAGGGUGACCGGCCACACUGGGACUGAGACACGGCCCAGACUCCUACGGGAGGCAGCAGUGGGGAAUAUUGCGCAAUGGGCGGAAGCCUGACACAGCGACGCCGCGUGGGGGAUGACGGCCUUCGGGUUGUAAACCUCUUUCAGCAGGGACGAAGCGCAAGUGACGGUACCUGUAGAAGAAGCACCGGCCAACUACGUG